GACGAACCACACAAACGUUAUUCGGAAUUACUGGGCUUAAAGGGUGCGUAGGCGGCGCGGUAAGUCGGGUGUGAAAUCUUGGAGCUUAACUCCGAAACUGCAUUCGAUACUGCCGUGCUUGAGGACUGGAGAGGAGACUGGAAUUUACGGUGUAGCAGUGAAAUGCGUAGAGAUCGUAAGGAAGACCAGUGGCGAAGGCGGGUCUCUGGACAGUUCCUGACACUGAGGCACGAAGGCCAGGGGAGCAAACGGG
rnacentral:rRNA from 1 species